GAUGAAGAACGUAGCAAAAUGCGAUACUUGGUGUGAAUUGCAGAAUCCCGUGAACCAUCGAGUUUUUGAACGCAAGUUGCGCCCGAAGCCUUUGGCCGAGGGCACGUCUGCCUGGGCGUCACGCAUCGCGUCGCCCCCCACAAUUCUCCGUAAAGGGAACGUGUGUUUUGGGGGCGGAUAUUGGUCUCCCGUGCUCAUGGCGUGGUUGGCCGAAAUAGGAGUCCUUUCGAUGGACGCACGAACUAGUGGUGGUCGUAAAAACCCUCGUCUUUUGUUUCAUGCUGUUGCUCGCAAGGUAAACUCUUUAAAAACCCCAAUGUGUCGUCUCUUGACGACGCUUCGACCGCGACCCCAGGUCAGGCGGGACUACCCGCUGAGUUUAAGCAUAUCAAUAAGCGGAGGA
rnacentral:misc_RNA from 1 species